CGCUUAAAUCCCCUCGAGGACUGCGUCGGCAUCGCUUUGCAAUGUUGCUACUCAAACAGGAAUAAUGUUCCAUGUAUGAAGUUGGAGAUUGAAAAAUGUUUGUUUGUGAUCGUUCCAAUCAGCAGAAGAGUAUAUACCGAUAUACCUCGAUUUAGAUGCGCCACUUUUUUCAAGCGGUUACAACUGCUUCGAUAUAACUCCGGGCGUCUACACAAGAAGAAAACUAGCAUGAUAUAAAGAAAACUAUAUAAUUUGAAAGCAGCCGUGUAACAGACACAAAGCCCUCAAAGAAACCCGGACAAGGCGAGUGAAAUGACGGCGCCGAUCAAAGCGGACGGUUUGAGCUCGUGCUGUACCUACCUACCGUAGGCGGAACCUACUUUAAAAUAUGUUAUUGUGUUUAUCACAGUAGUUCAUUUUGGUAAGAAAUGUAGGUACCUACCUACCUGCUGUAACUCUGCUACCUCUGUAACUUCACCUAAUUUCAGAAGAAGCUAAGGGCGGUUUCGUGAAAGUUGCGGAUUGAUUAGUAAUAAUGAACCACUGGCCUGCAGAUUACGUACAUUUUCAAUUAAUUUCGGAAUAUG